rnacentral:rRNA from 1 species
UGCGCAGGCGGACUAAUAAGUCAGUGGUGAAAUCUCUCGGCUCAACCGAGAAGCUGCCAUUGAAACUGUUAGUCUUGAGUAUAGUUGUAGUGGGCGGAAUAUGUCAUGUAGCGGUGAAAUGCUUAGAUAUGACAUAGAACACCGAUCGCGAAGGCAGCUCACUAAGCUAUAACUGACGCUCAGGCACGAAAGCGUGGGGAGCAAACAGGAUUAGAUACCCUGGUAGUCC